CUGCUGGGUGUAAUUUCUAACCCCCACAGAGGAAAGCUGAAAGGACACGCACACAUUGAUCCCCAUCUGCAAGAAAACCUCUGCUGCUUGGGCAUGGUGGCGCAUGCUUCCAACCCCGGUACUCAGGCGGCAAAGGCAGAUGCAUCGCUGAGUUCGAGGCCAUCCUGGUGUACAUAAAAUCACUCAGCAUUGGAGGCUAGUGAUUUUGAGGCCAGCCUGGAUACAUACCAACAACAAAAAUAAUUACUUCUCGUAAACAGAUGGAAAACAAGACUUUACACCCAAAACAACCCCAAACCCUUCCCAUUAUUACUCUCUGAAGACUCACACUGCCUCCCCAGAAGAGUCGCCCACGGCCCUUUAACUUGGAGAAGACAUACACCACUUGGCCCCUGUAUAUAGUCAAGAAGCGGCAAUCAGGGGCCACGUAGUCCUGAAGGGCCACAGCCAUGGAGAUAGGAUCUGGGGAGGGAGAAGGAAAUGACAAAAUGACAGCAACUUCAAAACAGACCAACAGUCCAAGCCUUCAGCCCCCUUCUCUUGUUCCCUGACUCUUACGGCUGCAUUCCUCAUCUGCACACAGCUUCCGGUCAGCCAGCUUGGGCAUGGCUCGAUCAGCCCUGCUAGGCUCUGAAAAAAUAGACAAGAUGACGAUGCCAAGGAGCACUGGAGACCACGCCAUCAUGGACCGAGAUGAGAAUAACCAAGUGAAGAACGGGUCUCCAGGCUCCUCCUGCCUUCCCUCUGGGCUGAGUAUCAAAGAAACCUGUGUUCUUGAUCCCAUCUCGGCCCCAAACCAAAUUUCACCCCCACCCACUCCCCAAGGUUGUCCUCCAGCCUGUACCAUCUCAGAGAGAGGGUAAGGGCUAUGGGCCAAAGAAAAUGUCCACUUGAGCCCAAAGCAAUCCAGACGACUCCAAGUACCAGCCAUCCCCUGGAUAACCAGAGACCCAGAUAGGCAGGCUGGACUAUCGAAUUCCACCUUCAAGUCAUUUUAGGUACCUGGACCCUCCAGAGACCGAGCUAGAGAAGCCAGUAUAGAAAACCACCCUGGAAUUUCCUGUGCUGAGGUCUGAGAACAAGGCAGUUCUUUGAUUAGUAGCCACAGACAUGGUUCCCCAUUACUGAGCAAAUUCUCGGUGUCUGGCCUCAGGCUAGGCACUGUCCCACCUGGCUCACUGGAAGCUAAGCUAUCCUAGCUUCUGAGGUUCA